CAUCACAUUUUUAUUCUCUCAUAUUCAGAAGAAAAAAAUAGUGGUAGAAUGAUAUUUCUGAAUCUGUCAUUUAUAAAUUGUAGUUUGGGAGAAAUUGAAAUAAGUUACAUGGGGGUGAGGAAGAGACAAGUGAGAUCUUAAUAAUUAAAUAUUAAGUUGGGGUGGGCCAGGGGGAAGCAUCAGAAGGUGAGUAGAAAUACAGAAGUAAAUUGGGUGUUUCCACCAAAUACCAAGCCAUAUAUCUAAGGAGAGACCAUCACUUCUUAUUCACGAUGUAAUUAAGUGGAACCAUGUGAAACUGCUGAUAGUCAACCAUCUUUGACCUACAAAAAUGGUCAUGGGUGUGGUUUGACCUAUAAACUAUUGGAAACAAGGUAUAUUUGUAAAAUAUAUUUUAAAAAGCACACUAAAUUAUCCCAUGGCUUGUUACAGAGAACAAGAAAAACAAUAAUCAAAAAAAAAGUUUUUUAAAAACACUAUAGUCAACUCCUUAACGUCAAAUACCUAUGGGUUUUUAAUACAAAAUACUCUAUAUGCUUGGGGAUGAUGUUUGCAAGGGUUUUUUUGGAAAGAAAAUAAGCUAGUUAAGAAGGCAUUUUCUAUUAGCUCCAAAGGAAUGUAACACCAGGCAGUUUUUUUCAUUUUUAAGGAUCUGAAGGACGCUAACUAUAGGAAAGAUCAAGAACAGCCACGUGCUGGUCCUCCACCACCCUAUAGCAAGCAGUCCAUGGAUGUCUGCAAGCAAGCAUUGGGGCCUGGCUGUGCCAUCCUUACCCUGGCCCACCCCUGGGCACAAGUGGGAUGUGGACUCUGAACAGAACCACCAGUGUAUUAUUUCUGCCACUUCUCAUCCAUCAUUUCUGGGUCAUUUGAGACCAGCUUUCUGUGUUUGCUAACAGAUCUUAAUAUAUAUAUAGGAAUAUCAUACAUAUAUAUAUAUACACACAUAUAUAUCAUCCAGCCUUAUAAAGGAGACUCUGCCAUUUGCAACGACACAGAUGAACCCGAAGAGGACAUUAUGCCAAGUGAAAUAAGCCAGACACAGAAAAAUACUGCAUGAUCUUAGUUACAUGUGGAGCCUAGAAUAGUAAGCCCACUGGUUACCACGUGGGGAAAAUAGGGAGAUGUUGGUUAAAGGAUAUAAAAUUGCAGUCUACAGGAUGAAUGAGGAAAGCUAAUGUACAACAUUAUGACUGUAACUAGUAAUACUGUAUUGAAAACGAAAUCUAAGAAAAUAGAUUUCACGUGCUCUGACCACACAACACACACAGGUAACUGUAGGAGGAGAUGGAUAUGUUAAUUUGCUUGACUCUAGUAUCCUAUCAUUAUGUAUAUCAAAACACCAAGUUGUACAUCUUAAAUAUAUACAAUUAAAUGAUAAAACAGGAACAAUGUUUUUAGCCUUGAAACUGAAGUUUGAGCAGGGCUCAGUAGGGAAGCACUCUUCCUUCUCCCAGUUAGUGUUAACUAGGGCUGCUCAGUGUUGAAUCUACAGAAGGCUCAUUCACUCAUGUGUCUGGUGGUUAAUACUAGCUGUCAGCUUUAGCUGGGCUGUUGCCUUGAACAUCAUCAUGUAGACUCUCCAUAUGUUCUGGGCAUUCUUCCAAAAUGGUGGCUCUCACCAUUUAUCACUCACGCCAAGUUUAAUUGUCUCAAGAAAGAGCUGGGUGGAAACCAUCACCUUUUCUCCUUACUCUGCAGCUUAGCAAGUAGCCUUGAAAAUAACAACCCACAUUCUAGGUACCUCAGGGAGCAGAGUGGACUCCAUUCACAAAGAAUUGUCAUUACUUGAACUGUCUGGUGGCUCUGUGGGAAAACAAAUAGAAGCUUUACCUGUUUGUACCUCAGAAUUCCUCCAGUGCUACAGCUGCUGCACAGGUGGGGUUUGUUGAAAUAUUUACAGGGAAAUAUUUUAGUUGCUGCUGCAAGGGGUGAUAACAGGGCAAACAGUAUAUUGAUGAAAAAGCUUGUAAGAAAAGACAGAAAUACAGUGUCCAUAAAGGCUUUGAAAAGUUCUUGACAUGGAAAUUUAGAAGGCCACACACAUGCACAGGGCUGUGUGCAUGCUUAGGAAGGCCCAAGAAGGCCCUAAGCUAUCCCCUCUGGCUGACCUUGAGGCUCUAUAAAAGCAGAAAGUGAAACCUAAGGCACAGUUGUAAACUGCCUGAUUGAGUACUGAAGGUAUGCCUCAACCCACACAUCAAGCCCCUUGGCAAAAGCCAGUAUUUUGUGGGUUCCAGGCAUUUAAGGAAAUCUCUGUGCGAUUAACUGAUCACUAAGCCAACUAAGAAAUUGCAGUGGUUUCACAUAGGAAGGGAUACAGCUUUACAGGAUUAGUUCGGAAAAGUCACUAAAUAACAGACCCUAAGAUGAGAGAAAGAAACCCAGGUUUGCCACAUAAUAAUAUAUCCAUUUCUCUAAAAACAGUGCAUGCUAUGAAACAAAGUAUGACUCCUCAAAACAAAACAAAA